rnacentral:rRNA from 1 species
UACGAAGGGGGCUAGCGUUGUUCGGAUUUACUGGGCGUAAAGCGCACGUAGGCGGAUAUUUAAGUCAGGGGUGAAAUCCCGGGGCUCAACCCCGGAACUGCCUUUGAUACUGGGUAUCUUUGAGUCCGGAAGAGGUGAGUGGAAUUCCGAGUGUAGAGGUGAAAUUCGUAGAUAUUCGGAGGAACACCAGUGGCGAAGGCGGGUCUCUGGACAGUUCCUGACGCUGAGGCACGAAGGUCAGGGGAGCAAACGGG